AGAAAGGAAAACUUGAAAUCGCAUCAUAUGACCCCUUUAAGGUUUGCAUACAAAUUUUACAUUUUUGCCUAGAAUCAGUCUGGACAGCCAGUGGCAAUGGAAGCUGGACAGAGACCCAAAGACAAAAUUUUUUACCUGCCUGCUGCACAUCAUUCUCUGUCCCCGGAUUGUCUGCCUGGUUUUGACUUGUGCCUGCCGACUGGUUUCUGCGCUUGCCUUUUCCUCUGGAUUUGUUUAUCUUUAUUGGACUGUUGGUGUCUACCGAGUCCGACCUUCCCGUCUGCGCUCCCCUGUCCGCCGUGUUCUCCAGUCCCGAGUCCACCUCAUCAGCCGGUGACCUGCUGACAUGUCUCAGCUGCUUUUCUUUUGUUCAGCAAACGUUCUCAAAUGCCUUUUUUUAAGCUUUUUUAUUUGUAGUCUAUUAUAUUUGAGCUAAAUAUAAUUAAUAUAACGUAGGCCUACUU
rnacentral:lncRNA from 1 species